GAAGAAACUGCCAAAAAACAUGUCUGACUUUAAAUAGCUGGCUCUGAUUAAUAUUUUUCCAAGCUAUCACCUUUAGCCAUUGCUAAAGCAGGCCAGUAAAGCAAGUUAAAAUUAAAUCUGGGUCUUUACCGUUUUAACGACUUUAUUAACAGUAGGUUGAUAAGAUAAGGGUCCGCCUUAAACCAAGGCUAGAUGUCAGCCCUCUCAGGACUUUCUCUCCCUGCUCUUCCUCAUAACAAGUUUAUGUAAUUACAACAGGUUCUAGACAGCAGAAAAAUAAAACUUUCUGUUGCUCUCCCAGUCACUGCUGACUUCCUAUGGAAGUCAAAACAUAAAAUAUACAUAAAAUAUAUGUUCAAAACCAUUUGGAGCAUUUAUGUGAAAUCAUAAGCAAGAUAAUUUUAUUGACAAGAAUUAAAAAUUCUUCACAAUCUUCUCCAUCUGUGGAGAUAUUCAAAACUUUAUAGGAUAAGUUCCUGGGCAACCUGACCUGAACUUUGUUCUGCUUUGAGUAAAAGGUUGGACUAGAUGACUGGCAAAAAUCCCUUCCAGCGUCAGCCUUUCUGUUGCUUUUAUCUGUCUAGAAUCUAAAGUAUAUGAGCAAAACAAGGCCUUUUUUUCUGUUUUGCCAGGCGGGGAACAGCUCAUUUUCUCUUCUCAUGCAGAAAAAGGGUAAGUUCUUCUUUAUGUACAUCCUAUAAAGUCCUGAGGAAGUCUAAGAGUAGGAGAAUUUUUGAGACAAAAGUCAAAAAUAAAGAAAUCCUUUUGCCUGAAUUUCCCCCUUUUUCAAUAAAAAGAACACAUGGUACUGUCUUUGUAAUACAACAAAAUAUCAUCACAUAAAGAACAGGAAAAGAUAGGAAAGAAGUUCGUGCACUGUCUGUGGGUGAAGAUUAAAAGGAGGAAGAGCACGUUGUUUUGUGCUCAGAAUCUUACAUGAAGCAGAAAAUCAGAAGAGGAGAAGAUGAAGAGUUGAGCUGCCAUCAGAACCAUCCAAAGGACAGGUAAAAAACGUAGUUUUUUGCUAUCCAUACAACCUUUUGAUUAUAAGAAUCCCAUGUGUCAAGGUGCAGGCAAAGCAAGUGAUCAGAUUGUUGGUGUUGAGUACACACUUCUGGUUUCAGGAAGGUGGGACUUUGGCUAUGGGAAAGCCAUAUCUCAUAUCUUACUGUCAGAAAGCAAUUGACUGAAAACCCAGAGGUGGGAAAUAAACUGGAGAAAUGAAAAUGAAAUAACAGCCUUGCUACUGGGAAUUGGGAAAACAGCUUUGACACAACCUAGGGAGAUAAGACUGAGACUUCAUGGGAAGACGAUGUAAGGGAUUAAAGACGUUCAAAUGAACUGGUGACUUUUGAAAGGGGCUGUUCUAAAUAUGUAAAGACAAACUUGUUUAAAGAAUUCAGAGACAGAAUUAGGAAAUCUUCAAAUAUCCAAAAAUCCAAAGAGAAUUGUGUGAGACCUGGAAAAAUCUGUGCUAUAAAUGAAUAGCAAGCAUUUAGACUGAUAAAUUCUGAAGGACUGUGAUAUGAAAUAUAUUUCAGUUGGAGAAGUUGCAGAAAAGUUCUAUUAAAGUAUCAGAACUAAAAGGAAAUUACAGGAGAAUGAUUUAGUAAAAAAAAGGGAAGGCAAACUGAAAACAGUGCUGGUGUAUUCAACAUAUUCUUUGCUUAUGUCUUUACAAAGGUAAAUGGAACUCACAUUAAUUUUAUUAUGAAAAAUGGAGCAUACUAUGGGGACAAUGAUGGUAGGAGUAGUGACUAUUUAGAUUUAAUAUAUGUACUCAAGCCAACAGAGGAAAUUCACACACAAUUCAUGGGUGAUAAUUCAUAUAGUAAUCUGAGAACUAUUUUAGAAUAUAUUUAAAUAUAUUUUUUAUGCCAAAUAUUCGAAAAAACUUGGAGUAAUACAAAUUUCUAGAAAACUGGUUAGACAGAAAUGGAAAUUAAAUAUGUCAUGAACUCAAUUUAGUUUUCUUUUUUCUUUGAGCAAUUAACUUAGUGAUCAAAGAUGUAAAUUAUAUGCAUUUUAUUUUACUUCAAUAAAUGUUUUAGAUAAACUAAGAGCAACUCAGAGGUAAGCAUAGAAAAAAUGCUCUAGGGGAAAUUAUGCCUGUGUGUAUCAAUUAUUUUUAAACAUUUCUUCUUGAAGAGCAGUUGCAUUGUUAUACAUUCAUACUUUGAAGAUAUUUCAAAUGGCAUCCCUAAGAGGUCUAUUCUACUUAGUUUUCUAGCUCAUAUUUUUGUUAAUGUUUUUGAAUCAUAAACUAGUAAUCAGCAGGACAAAGAUAAGACCUUCUAGCUCAUGCUAGACCAUAAAAACUGCUUUUUCAGCAUUCUUAGAUAACCACUGCUAUAGCAAAAUUCUGCAUGGAGAUAGAAGUUCAGAACAAAGGAGAAAAGAGACUUCCAAUACUGAUUCAAAUAAAAUAUUGCUGAUGAAGAGUAGAAAUUGUCCUGCAUAAUUAACAUUGAAAUUCUCAAACCAGUCUGCAGGUCCCUGGUCAGCUGUCAGAGAUGGUCAGGAGAGAGCAAGGGGUUACACUGAGGAGGUUUCCUUCCAAACUUUUGCUGGGAUGCUUCUGGACAGCCAAGCUUCUACAGGUUUUCUCACCUUUGCUCUUCCUAUUGUCUCCCCUGUCCCACUGGAGUCAGAACAGCUGAGUAACUCCGUGGUGCUUGGCUGGUGAACCGAGUCAAUCUACCACGCCUUGUCAAUGGCCUUGUAACUUACAGUACCACGCUCCAUCUUAACAUGGAGUUUAAAACCUUUGGAUCAUCACAGACAGUAAGAAGUGAAAUCUGAACUGCACUGAGUGCAGUUCCACAGUGGUGGAAUUGGAGUGUGGUCAUGUGUGUCCCAUCCUGAAGUUCUCCAAUUUCUAAGUACAUAUCCAAGAUGAUGACAGACAACUGCUCCAACAACUCUAAAUGUUCUAAAAACUAGCUCCUUGACAAUGCUUCUCUUCACCUCUGAAGCAGCUGUAAGCCGUUUAACUUCAGAGCUGAAAGCAAUUAAAUUCAUCAAUGAGAUAUCUACAACAAACAAGUUCUGCUGAAAGUUUUUCCUGGAUGGAGCAUGACAUUAACCAGGUGAGUUGAAUUCCACAUAUUCAGAACCCAUCCUGGACACUUGUCAGGCAAGCCUGUAAUUCGCCUUCCACAGGAUGUUAUUUUCUUCGCCAGGACCUCUCUGUAAAUACAGUCCUCCUGAUGAAGGAGUUGUCAUGCUUCCAGUUUGCCCAAUGAUUUUCUCCACCCUCAUUCCAGAGGCUUCACUGAAUGCCUCAGACUCCUGUACAUGGUGUCCAAUGUGCUCCUUUUAAGGACAGCAGACACAUGCCUUUUGGAAACUACACCUGUCAUAUUCUGGCAAACUUCCCUUGCCAAUAACCAGUAUGGGCUGGGAAAAACCUGAAGCCUUCAUAAGUUUUUCAUUGUCCUGCAUAUUCUUCUCAUCAGCUGAACAGGCAAUAAUAACAUUCUGUAAGAGACAUGUCCUCUGGGCUGCCGUCAUGUGCCCCUGGUACAAAAUCAGAACACAAACCUUGAAGCAUUUAUAAGCCUAAUUUAUCAUUUAGCAAUUUUUUGUCUCCUUAAAAUAUAGCUCCAUGUUUAUUCUUGUUGAAUGACAUGUAGUUGGUGCUGUAUGAACCCAAAGUUUAACCUGAAGUGGAUCUGCAUGGACAAGUCUUCUUUCCAGAAGAGACAUUCUCACAGCCUGGGAGAAUUCAUGUGCAUGCUGGAGCAGCUAAAAAGGCAGAACUGUUAGUCUUGCACCAUGAUCUAAUUCUCUGUGGCACAGACUUUUCAGACCUCUUCCCACUGAAAUGUGUGUAUUCCUCAUGAAAGGAUAGAGAUUGUGGUAGAGUUAACACAGAUUUGAAAGAAUUCAUUUCAUGAAGUGCUAAUAAUAUUCCUCAAACUUACAAAACAGUGGCUUGGUAAUGAAUUUCAAAAUAUAUGUCUGAAAAUAGUCCACAAUAGUCAGCAAAUUAUCUGAACUGCAAAUAAACUAGGUGUGUUCUGAUAAAACACCAUCCUAUACUUUUGGUUUUUAUAAUUUUGGAGGAGAAAUUUUGUUUUGAAAUAAGUUGCAUGAUAUAACCCCCAGGUAAGAAUUUUAAUUUUCCUAAGUCUGUACAUUCAGGGCCAACUUGGAUGAACUUUGAACAACCUGGUCUAGUAAAAGAUGUCCCUGCCCACAGCAGGAGAUGAACUUGGUGUUUUUAAAGGUCCGUUCCAACCCAAACUGUCCUAUGUUUGCUUUUAUACAGAAUGAAAAGCAGCAGGAAAAAACUCUGCCUACAAUGGCACUAUAAAAGGUGUCUGUUUGCAGGGGAUUUGCCUUCAUGACAGCAAAAUCUUUUAUGUGGACUUUUAUCAAAUAAAAUGUGAGUCAGUAAUACCAUAACAAUGUCUGCUGAGAUGCAACAUGAGAAAGAAAAAUAUUUAAAUCCUUUCCCCAAUCAUUUGCUAGCUUUUUUAUUUUUAAUUAUUCCAGGUGAUGACAGAUAAUUGGAAGUGCUAGAGUUAUGCCUCUCAUAAUUGAUGUUGUCUGUGUGAUGAUGACAUGCUAAUGUCAUCAACCAUGCUGGCCUUUAUCUCAGAUGUUUGAUCAGUUGUGUUAUUGUUGAGCAAAGAUGUUAAUCAGCCAAAACCAUUAACUAUUAUGCUUGACUUAGAGUAAAGUUCAAAUUCAUUUCCUUAGAUAAUUUAUUCUGGUGAAACACAAAAUUGAAUAAAGGUAGUUUGUCAAAAUUAUGUAGGAACUUUUAAUUUAUAGCUGUAACUAUAUGAAAUUUCUCCGUGGCAUAAUUAUUCCAAACAGAUCAUUCCUAGAUGUAAUGUUACUUUUUUUCUCUCUUUUUUUUAAAUUACUAAUGAUUUUAACAGUUUUCUUCUUUUCAGUAAAAGACAUUUAUAUUUCCAUUUUACUAAUACAUUUUUUAAGUUCUCACAUUUUCCCCCUGGGUGAUAUUUUGUUAAUCAGGUUUCUGCAUAAUUGUAUUUUAUCUUUUGGAGAUUUUUAUAAUUCUUUAUUAGGUCUUCUCCCACCUUGACCCAAAACUUCACAUUAAAACUUUGUUUUUCUGAAUAAUAUCUGUUUGUCAUAAAU